AACGAACGCUGGCGGUAUGCUUAACACAUGCAAGUCGAACGAACAAAAUUGGGGCUUGCUCCAAUUUUAGUGAGUGGCCAACGGGUGAGUAACACGUGGGAACCUACCUAUCCGUACGGAAUAACAUUUGGAAACAGAUGCUAAUACCGUAUAUUCUCCAAGGAGGAAAGAUUUAUCGCUGAUAGUUGAGCCCGCGUAAGAUUAGGUAGUUGGUAGGGUAAUGGCCUACCAAGCCGACGAUCUUUAGCUGGUCUGAGAGGAUGAUCAGCCACACUGGGACUGAGACACGUCCCAGACUCCUACGGUAGGCAGCAGUGGGGAAUAUUUGACAAUGGGCGAAAGCCUGAUCCAGCAAGACCACGUGAAUGAUGAAGGCCUUAGGGUUGUAAAGUUCUUUUAGUUGGAAAGAUAAUGACGGUACCAACAGAAAAAGCCCCGGCUAACUCCGUGCCAGCCGCCGCCGUAA
rnacentral:rRNA from 1 species